UGUUUAUGGACUUCAGAAGCGACGGAGUCCCAUGAAUCAGUACCGUG
rnacentral:sRNA from 1 species